rnacentral:rRNA from 1 species
UACGUAGGGGGCAAGCGUUGUCCGGAUUUAUUGGGCGGAAAGCGCACGCAGGCGGUCUGUUCAGUUUGGAGUGACAGUUCCUGGCUCAACUGGGAAAGUGCUUCGAAUACUGGCGGACUUGAGGGCUUCAGAGGGACACGGAAUUCCGGGUGGAGUGGUGAAAUGCGUAGAGAUCCGGAGGAACACCAAAGGCGAAGGCAGCGUCCUGGGGAGUACCUGACGCUCAGGUGCGAAAGCCAGGGGAGCGAACGGG